rnacentral:rRNA from 1 species
UACGUAGGCAGCGAGCGUUGUUCGGAAUUACUGGGCGUAAAGCGUGUGUAGGCGGUGCUCCCAGUCUGUUGUGAAAUCUCCCGGCUUAACUGGGAGGGUGCAGCGGAAACUAGAGUGCUAGAGGGUGGGAGAGGUAAGCGGAAUUCCUGGUGUAGCGGUGAAAUGCGUAGAUAUCAGGAGGAACACCUGUGGUGUAGACAGCUUACUGGACCGCUUCUGACGCUGAGACACGAAAGCGUGGGUAGCAAACAGG